rnacentral:misc_RNA from 1 species
GAUGAAGAACGCAGCGAAAUGCGAUACGUAGUGUGAAUUGCAGAAUCCAGUGAAUCAUCGAAUCUUUGAACGCACAUUGCGCCCGCCAGUAUUCUGGCGGGCAUGCCUGUCUGAGCGUCAUUUCAACCCUCAUGCCCCUAGGGCGUGGUGUUGGGGAUCGGCCAAAGCCCGCGAGGGACGGCCGGCCCCUAAAUCUAGUGGCGGACCCGUCGUGGCCUCCUCUGCGAAGUAGUGAUAUUCCGCAUCGGAGAGCGAUGAGCCCCUGCCGUUAAACCCCCAACUUUCCAAGGUUGACCUCAGAUCAGGUAGGAAUACCCGCUGAACUUAAGCAUAUCAAUAAGCGGAGGA